rnacentral:rRNA from 1 species
CCUACGGGUGGCAGCAGUGGGGAAUAUUGCACAAUGAGGGAAACCCUGAUGCAGCGACGCCGCGUGGGUGAAGAAGUAUUUCGGUAUGUAAAGCCCUAUCAGCAGGGAAGAAAAAUGACGGUACCUGACGAAGAAGCACCGGCUAAAUAAGUGCCAGCAGCCGCGGUAAUACGUGUGGUGCAAGCGUUAUCCGGAUUUACUGGGGGUAAAGGCGUCGGAGGCGGCACGCUAAGCCUGAUGUGAAAACCCGCGGCCCAACCGCGGGAGUGCAUUGGGGACUGGCGAGCUGGAGUAACGGAGGGGCAGGCGGAAUUCCUAGUGUAGCGGUGAAAUGCGUAGAUAUUAGGAGGAACACCAGUGGCGAAGGCGGCCUGCUGGACGUAGACUGACGCUGAGGGUCGAAAGCGUGGGGAGCAAACAGGAUUAGAUACCCUGGUAGUC